rnacentral:rRNA from 1 species
UCUGCUCAGACGAACGCGGCGGCGUGCCUAAUACAUGCAAGUCGAACGCUUCUUUUCCACCGGAGCUUGCUCCACCCGGGAAAAGAGGAGUGGCGAACGGGUGAGUAACACGUGGGUAACCUGCCCAUCAGAAGGGGAUAACACUUGGAAACAGGUGCUAAUACCGUAUAACAAUCGAAACCGCAUGGUUUCGUUUUGAAAGGCGCUUUACGGUGCCGCUGAUGGAUGGACCCGCGGUGCAUUAGCUAGUUGGUGAGGUAACGGCUCACCAAGGCCACGAUGCAUAGCCGACCUGAGAGGGUGAUCGGCCACAUUGGGACUGAGACACGGCCCAAACUCCUACGGGAGGCAGCAGUAGGGAAUCUUCGGCAAUGGACGAAAGUCUGACCGAGCAACGCCGCGUGAGUGAAGAAGGUUUUCGGAUCGUAAAACUCUGUUGUUAGAGAAGAACAAGGGUGAGAGUAACUGUUCACCCCUUGACGGUAUCUAACCAGAAAGCCACGGCUAACUACGUGCCAGCAGCCGCGGUAAUACGUAGGUGGCAAGCGUUGUCCGGAUUUAUUGGGCGUAAAGCGAGCGCAGGCGGUUUCUUAAGUCUGAUGUGAAAGCCCCCGGCUCAACCGGGGAGGGUCAUUGGAAACUGGGAGACUUGAGUGCAGAAGAGGAGAGUGGAAUUCCAUGUGUAGCGGUGAAAUGCGUAGAUAUAUGGAGGAACACCAGUGGCGAAGGCGGCUCUCUGGUCUGUAACUGACGCUGAGGCUCGAAAGCGUGGGGAGCAAACAGGAUUAGAUACCCUGGUAGUCCACGCCGUAAACGAUGAGUGACUAAGUGUUGGAGGGUUUCCGCCCUUCAGUGCUGCAGCUAACGCAUUAAGCA